CAUUUCAACACUUAAGUCAUUGCACAGAGCAGAUUCACUUUUAAUCCUGCAGUGCAGCUCCCUGAGUUGGUUUUUUUGUAGGGUGUGGAAAAUGCUCGAUGCUAGUUGUGAUAACUCAUGACGAUGACAUUUAUCCUUGGGAAACUGGGUUAAAGUUUCUGCUGUAGCUUGGAGGAGCCAAGAAAACCUGAGCCAGUGAUAAAAGAGCACUUAAAAAGUUGCCACCUCUAUGAGCUGCAUGGCUGGUGCUGAGGAGCAGCCUUACAGCACACAAAGAAAGGGAGAAACAGUGGCUAAGAUCUAGGUCCUUACACCUCAGAAGCACUAAGGAUCCUCCAGCUGAUCCUGCCCAGGAAAGCAGAAAGCCUCACUGCUUUGGGGAAUAAGGAGUAGUGAAAUUUGUGCAGUUUAUGCAUCCUGCUAGUAUUUCAGCCAGGAAUGUGAAAUCUAAUUGGGGUUUGGCACAGGUUUAGUGAUGGUUACCAAUUACAAUUAACUGUUAUUGUCUGUUAAGUGCUGACAGACAUAAAAGGAGGCAGUGCCACCCCCAAGCAUGAUAGAAAUCAAAUGAAUCAGCAGUUGCUACCAAUAAUCCUCAUCCCCGCGUGCUAAGGUGCAGCUGAGUUACUCAUUUGGACUUGAUGAAGAGCCUACAAAUAGUGCUUGGUUAAUGUGGAUGGGAUGUAGGGGUCAGGAGAGUCCCUCAUGCUUUUUUUGAUACCACUAAUACUACUACUAAUAUUUCUGUAGCACUUAUGAGAAUAAAAUACCAUUUCAAUGUGUCAGCCCUUUUGAUCCUCACUAAAAAUGUAUUCAGGAAGAUAAGCAAGCCAGCUAGCAAGGUAGCCAUGCAGCAAAUUAAACAACAGUGCAUAUGAAGAAUUCCAAUUUCAAGGAAGAAAAGAAGAAACCUGUAACACAGCCUGGAAAGCACAGCUAUUAAAGCAGAGAGACUUUUGAAGCUACAGGUAGAUGCUGUGCUUUGGGAGAAAAUUCCAAUUUCAAGGAAAAAAAGAAGAAACCUGUAACACAGCCUGGAAAGCACAGCUAUUAAAGCAGAGAGACUUUUGAAGCUACAGGUAGAUGCUGUGCUUUGGGAGA